CACGUUGGAACCUGCCCCAAAGUGAGGAAUAAGCCACCGAAAGGUGGUCUAAUACUUCAUAAUAUCCAUCUCGUAUGGAUUAAAGCUUUAUGCGCUUUGGAGGGGCCUGCGUAACAUUAGCUUGUUGGUGAGGUAAAAGCUCACCAAGGCUUCGAUGUUUAACUGGUUUGAGAGGAUGACCAGUCACACUGGGACUGAGAUACGGCCCAGACUCCUACGGGAGGCAGCAGUAAGGAAUCUUCCACAAUGGGGCAACCCUGAUGGAGCAAUACCGCGUGCAGGAUGAAGCGUUUCGGCGUGUAAACUGCUUUUAUCACCGAAGAUUAUGACUGUAGGUGAAGAAUAAGGACCGGCUAACUACGUG
rnacentral:rRNA from 1 species